rnacentral:rRNA from 1 species
UACGUAGGAGACGAGCGUUGUCCGGAAUUACUGGGCGUAAGCGCGUGUAGGCGGAUAGGCAAGUCUGCUGUGAAAGCUCCUGGCUUAACCGGGAGUGGUCGGUGGAAACUGCCUGUCUGGAGGACGGUAGAGGCGGAUGGAAUUCCCGGUGUAGUGGUGAAAUGGCGUAGAUAUCGGGAGGAACACCAGUGGCGAAGGCGGCGAUC